UACGUAGGGUGCAAGCGUUAAUCGGAAUUACUGGGCGUAAAGCGUGCGCAGGCGGUUUUGUAAGUCUGACGUGAAAUCCCCGGGCUCAACCUGGGAAUUGCGUUGGAGACUGCAAGGCUGGAGUCUGGCAGAGGGGGGUAGAAUUCCCGGUGUAGCGGUGAAAUGCGUUGAUAUCGGGAGGAAUACCCGUGGCGAAGGCGGUCCACUGGGCAUCAACUGACGCUGAGGCGCGAAAGCGUGGGUAGCAAACAGG
rnacentral:rRNA from 1 species